UCGAACGAAGCAAUUAAAAUGAAGUUUUCGGAUGGAUUUUUGAUUGACUGAGUGGCGGACGGGUGAGUAACGCGUGGAUAACCUGCCUCACACUGGGGGAUAACAGUUAGAAAUGACUGCUAAUACCGCAUAAGCGCACAGUACCGCAUGGUACGGUGUGAAAAACUCCGGUGGUGUGAGAUGGAUCCGCGUCUGAUUAGCCAGUUGGCGGGGUAACGGCCCACCAAAGCGACGAUCAGUAGCCGACCUGAGAGGGUGACCGGCCACAUUGGGACUGAGACACGGCCCAAACUCCUACGGGAGGCAGCAGUGGGGAAUAUUGCACAAUGGGCGAAAGCCUGAUGCAGCGACGCCGCGUGAGUGAAGAAGUAUUUCGGUAUGUAAAGCUCUAUCAGCAGGGAAGAAAAUGACGGUACCUGACUAAGAAGCCCCGGCUAACUACGUGCCAGCAGCCGCGGUAAUACGUAGGGGGCAAGCGUUAUCCGGAUUUACUGGGUGUAAAGGGAGCGUAGACGGCGAAGCAAGUCUGAAGUGAAACCCAGGGCUCAACCCUGGGACUGCUUUGGAAACUGUUUUGCUAGAGUGUCGGAGAGGUAAGUGGAAUUCCUAGUGUAGCGUGAAAUGCGUAGAUAUUAGGAGGACACCAGUGGCG
rnacentral:rRNA from 1 species